rnacentral:rRNA from 1 species
UACGUAGGGGGCAAGCGUUGUCCGGAUUUCAUUGGGCGUAAAGAGCGUGUAGGCGGCCAGGUAGGUCGGUUGUGAAAACUGGAGGCUCAACCUUCAGAGGUCGACCGAAACCAUCUGGCUAGAGUCCGGGAGAGGAGAGUGGAAUUCCUGGUGUAGCGGUGAAAUGCGCAGAUAUCAGGAAGAACACCCGUGGCGAAAGCGGCUCUCUGGAACGGUACUGACGCUGAGACGCGAAAGCGUGGGGAGCGAACAGG